UUGUGUCAAUUUUUGAUCCAAAUGACUCCUUUAACUCCAUAUUAGAAAUUUGCCUGUAUGCUUCAUCGUCGAGAAUUUCAAGCCUUUCGUCUCGUUUGUUGAAACCAGUGACAAACUCUUGACGAGAGUAUAUAUCCCUACUUUCGCCAAUAUAGUAAGCAUUAUUUUUGUUCAAUUUGGUUUUGCACAUUGGACACGACGAACUAUGCUUCAACCACGCUUCCAAACAAAAACUACAGUACAAAUGGCCUAACAAGUUAACUAGAUAAA